CCUACGGGAGGCAGCAGUGGGGAAUAUUGGGCAAUGGGCGCAAGCCUGACCCAGCAACGCCGCGUGAAGGAAGAAGGCUUUCGGGUUGUAAACUUCUUUUGACAGGGAAGAGCAGAAGACGGUACCUGUCGAAUAAGCCACGGCUAACUACGUGCCAGCAGCCGCGGUAAUACGUAGGUGGCAAGCGUUGUCCGGAUUUACUGGGUGUAAAGGGCGUGUAGCCGGGCUGACAAGGCAGAGGUGAAAUCCGGGGGCUUAAACCCCGAACUGCAUUUGAAACUGUUGAGCUAGAGUGCUGGAGAGGUAAGUGGAAUUCCUAGUGAAGCGGUGAAAUGCGUAGAUAUUAGGAGGAACACCAGUGGCGAAGGCGGCUUACUGGACAGUAACUGACGUUGAGGCUCGAAAGCGUGGGGAGCAAACAGGAUUAGAUACCCGUGUAGUC
rnacentral:rRNA from 1 species